AACCCAUGGUGAGGGCACCUUCUUAGUAAGUCCUUGUAUCUCUCCCAUGCAUCAUAAAGUGUUUCUAAAUCCAUUUGCACAAAGCUGUUUUAGUCAGAGGAA
rfam:Gossypium arboreum cultivar AKA8401 contig_122898_1, whole genome shotgun sequence.